UACGGGGGGGGCAAGCGUUGUUCGGAAUUACUGGGCGUAAAGGGCUCGUAGGCGGCCAACUAAGUCGGAUGUGAAAUCCCCAGGCUUAACCUGGGAACUGCAUCCGAUACUGGAUGGCUUGAAUCCGGGAGAGGGAUGCAGAAUUCCAGGUGUAGCGGUGAAAUGCGUAGAGAUCAUGAGGAAGACCAGUGGCGAAGGCGGGUCUCUGGACAGUUCCUGACACUGAGGCACGAAGGCCAGGGGAGCAAACGGG
rnacentral:rRNA from 1 species